GACGAACGCUGGCGGCGUGCUUAACACAUGCAAGUCGAACGAUGAAGCCGCUUCGGUGGUGGAUUAGUGGCGAACGGGUGAGUAACACGUGGGCAAUCUGCCCUGCACUCUGGGACAAGCCCUGGAAACGGGGUCUAAUACCGGAUAUGACCACUGACCGCAUGGUCUGGUGGUGGAAAGCUCCGGCGGUGCAGGAUGAGCCCGCGGCCUAUCAGCUUGUUGGUGGGGUGAUGGCCUACCAAGGCGACGACGGGUAGCCGGCCUGAGAGGGCGACCGGCCACACUGGGACUGAGACACGGCCCAGACUCCUACGGGAGGCAGCAGUGGGGAAUAUUGCACAAUGGGCGAAAGCCUGAUGCAGCGACGCCGCGUGAGGGAUGACGGCCUUCGGGUUGUAAACCUCUUUCAGCAGGGAAGAAGCUUUCGGGUGACGGUACCUGCAGAAGAAGCACCGGCUAACUACGUGCCAGCAGCCGCCGUAAGAC
rnacentral:rRNA from 1 species